GAUUGUUUCACUGAAAGCUGGUCUUCAUCGCAUCUAUUUUUUGUUCUUAUUUUGUGUUUUACUUCUUUGUAUUUAUUCAUGUUUAAUAUCAGUUGUCAUUCAUUAAUGUAUUCAGCUAGUAACUGUUGUCAAGACCACUGAUAAUUUUUUUAUGUCAACAAAAACAUAAUUCACACAACAUGCUGCUGUUGUGGUUAUUGUUGAUGUUUUAAUGUAAAACCCUAACUGAGGCUACACUCUAAGAUGCCUUAUUACUGAUUUUCUGGAGCUCAGCCAUCCAACUACACAGACUGCCAAUACACUCUCAACAGGUAAAUAAUGUCUUUCUUAAAAUGUCUAUAAAUUAUAAUUUUCAAAUGCUAAUUGAUUUCCUAUGUCUUUUCUCUUUUUAGUGUAAGAGAACAUGUAAGUGUGACCAGCUCUAUUCAGUUAAGGAUACUCUCCUCUUCUUCACUAAAUGCUGUCACAUCCUACAACCUCAUCAUCUACAGAGAGAAACUGCCAUUCAGUCACACCAAAAUACAGAUAAUGAUUAACUUAAAGGCUUCAUAGAGAAUUGUGAAGAUAUUUCACUGAAGCUUGGUCUUCAAUACACUUUUUUAUGUUCUUUUUUGUUUUAUUUCUUUAAGCAUUUAUUUAUGUUCAAUGUCAUUGUCAUUCAUUAAUGUAUUCUGCUAUUAAUUGUUGUUAGAACACUGUCAUUUUUGCUACAAUUUUACGUCAUUAAAAACAGUACCUAAUUGACAUCUUGUUGUUGUUCAUUUUAUGUAAAACCCUAAUAGACACUUAAGACCAGGCAGGUAAAGGGGUAAAAAAACAAUAUUAAUAAAUAAUAUAUACAAAUAAUACUAAUAUUAAUG
ensembl:lncRNA